UGGGGAAUAUUGGACAAUGGGCGAAAGCCUGAUCCAGCAAUGCCGCGUGAGUGAUGAAGGCCUUAGGGUUGUAAAGCUCUUUUACCCGGGAUGAUAAUGACAGUACCGGGAGAAUAAGCCCCGGCUAACUCCGUGCCAGCAGCCGCGGUAAUACGGAGGGGGCUAGCGUUGUUCGGAAUUACUGGGCGUAAAGCGUACGUAGGCGGCUUUGUAAGUUAGAGGUGAAAGCCCGGGGCUCAACUCCGGAAUUGCCUUUAAGACUGCAUCGCUUGAAUCAUGGAGAGGUGAGUGGAAUUCCGAGUGUAGAGGUGAAAUUCGUAGAUAUUCGGAAGAACACCAGUGGCGAAGGCGACUCACUGGACAUGUAUUGACGCUGAGGUACGAAAGCGUGGGGAGCAAACAGG
rnacentral:rRNA from 1 species